CCUACGGGCGGCAGCAGUGGGGAAUAUUGGACAAUGGGGGCAACCCUGAUCCAGCCAUGCCGCGUGUGUGAAGAAGGCCCGCGGGUUGUAAAGCACUUUCAGUGAGGAAGAACGCCUGGUGGUUAAUACCCAUCAGGAAAGACAUCACUCACAGAAGAAGCACCGGCUAACUCCGUGCCAGCAGCCGCGGUAAUACGGAGGGUGCGAGCGUUAAUCGGAAUUACUGGGCGUAAAGCGCGCGUAGGUGGCUUGAUAAGCCGGUUGUGAAAGCCCCGGGCUCAACCUGGGAACGGCAUCCGGAACUGUCAAGCUAGAGUGCAGGAGAGGAAGGUAGAAUUCCCGGUGUAGCGGUGAAAUGCGUAGAGAUCGGGAGGAAUACCAGUGGCGAAGGCGGCCUUCUGGACUGACACUGACACUGAGGUGCGAAAGCGUGGGUAGCAAACAGGAUUAGAUACCCGGGUAGUC
rnacentral:rRNA from 1 species